rnacentral:rRNA from 1 species
AGUGAACGCUGGCGGUAGGCCUAACACAUGCAAGUCGAACGGCAGCACAGUAAGAGCUUGCUCUUACGGGUGGCGAGUGGCGGACGGGUGAGGAAUACAUCGUAAUCUACUUUUUCGUGGGGGAUAACGUAGGGAAACUUACGCUAAUACCGCAUACGACCUACUGGUGAAAGCAGGGGAUCUUCGGACCUUGCGCGAUUGAAUGAGCCGAUGUCGGAUUAGCUAGUUGGCGGGGUAAAGGCCCACCAAGGCGACGAUCCGUAGCUGGUCUGAGAGGAUGAUCAGCCACACUGGAACUGAGACACGGUCCAGACUCCUACGGGAGGCAGCAGUGGGGAAUAUUGGACAAUGGGCGCAAGCCUGAUCCAGCCAUACCGCGUGGGUGAAGAAGGCCUUCGGGUUGUAAAGCCCUUUUGUUGGGAAAGAAAAGCAGCAGGUUAAUACCCCGCUGUUCUGACGGUACCCAAAGAAUAAGCAGCGGCUAACUUCGU